AACGCGAAGAACCUUACCCAGACUUGACAUGCAGCGGACCGUACCAGAAAUGGUACUUCCCUUCGGGGCUGCUGCACAGGUGCUGCAUGGCUGUCGUCAGCUCGUGCCGUGAGGUGUUGGGUUAAGUCCCGCAACGAGCGCAACCCUUAUUACUAGUUGCCAACACGUAAAGGUGGGAACUCUAGUGAGACUGCCCGGGUUAACCGGGAGGAAGGUGAGGAUGACGUCAAGUCCGCAUGGCCCUUAUGUCUGGGGCUACACACGUGCUACAAUGGCCGGUACAGAAGGCUGCGAAACCGCGAGGUGAAGCAAAUCCCUAAAGCCGGUCCCAGUUCAGAUUGUAGUCUGCAACUCGACUACAUGAAGUUGGAAUUGCUAGUAAUGGCGUGUCAGCAACAGCGCCGUGAAUACGUUCCCGGGCCUUGUA
rnacentral:rRNA from 1 species